UCCUUGCACCUGGGCCCCUGCUCGAGGCGGCUGUGGCUGCCAGAGCCCGGGUCAGGGCUUUUAUUGUGAAAGGAGCUCCCCCUCCCUAGCUUUCGGGGAAGUGGGGAGGCUGGGCCGGGACGCACAGCAGGGACUUCGCAAACUCUGCAAACGCCCCUAGUUGAACGCGGAGCCUCCCGGCUGUGGAACGGCUCCUGCAGAACCUCAGAUCCUCAGAUGACACGCAGACUCCGCGUGCAUUCUCCCGGAGCUCCUCUAACAACCCCACCUGCAGGGCAUCCCCGAGCGCGCUGCGCCCCCAGGAGUCGCGGGGCCACUUACUUGGCUGCUGGGAAGCUGUGGACGUCCCGUCCGGGAAAGCCGCGUCUAGGGAAGCCUGGAGAGUCACGGAGCAAGUGGCGACCCCGGGGCGGUGGGAUGAGCCGGAGAGCCAGCUGAGAGCUCCCAGAAGCAGGUCCAGCCACUGCGGGGGCCAUGGCGUCUUGGCUCUGGAGAAAGCUGCGUGGCAAAAGGCGGCUGGUGAUGGCAUUCUGCCUCCUGAUGACUCUGUCUGCGGUGGCUGUCACUCGCUUCCCCCCACAGCAUCCUGCUACUGGCCCAGAGCCUGGUCCCAUGGAGCCCCAGGAGGUAACGGGUGCCCUUGGCCCCCACGGCCGGCAGGCUCUGAGCUCCAGCUGGAGGCAGCGGGCAAGAGACCUAGGGCUCUGGAGAGGCUGGGCCUUGCCUAGCCCCAUGUGUGCUGGGGAGCAAGGCCACAGAGGGCCAGUGGACAGAAGCAGGAAGUCCCUGGGAGGGGACAGCAGGCGUCCAGGGAGGGUCAGGAGGGACAUUACUUUGGCAUCUCUAGAUUUGAGACUCAGUACCCGGCGUCUUGUGCUUCUGGGGGAGGAUGAGGUUAGGAGUCCAGGAGCCAAAGACUUGGGUCCCCCCUGGCAUGAUGGUCUCAUCAGAGAGGCACAGAAUGAAACGGGCACCCUGGUUGGCCCCCUCACAGGACAUGGCAUGACGGCUUUACAGGCUUGGAAAGCUACCGCUGGACCGACCCUCCGGUCCCACCCAGCAGAAGGCAGGAAUCUUCCAGGAUUGACUGGUGGGCGACAAACAGGGCAUCCCACACCAUCUGCAGGGGCUCGUCGGUGGCCUGGCUCUGUUGGGGAGCUGCAAGGAUCUGUCUGGUGUGAGGCUGAGACCCCUGGUCUGUUGCCCGGCUUGAGGACCAGUGGGCAGGCUCCCCCGUGGCUCACAGAGCAUGAUGUGCAAAUGCUCCGGCUGUUGGCCCAGGGGGAGGUGGUGGGCAAAGCCAGGGUGCCUGGCCAUGGGCAGGUGCUGCAGGUUGGCCUCUCCAAUGCGGGUGCCUCUCGGGACAUGUCUUCUGGGCUCAGCCAUCUCUGCUCCCAGGGGCUCUGCGGCCUGAUCAAGAGGCCUGGGGACCUGCUGGAGGUCCUGGCCUUCCACGUGGACCGUGUGCUGGGGCUGCACCGGAGCCUACCUGCUGUGGCCCGGAACUUCCGGAGCUCCCUGCUGCCCUACCGAUACACAGAUGGCAGCACAAGGCCCGUCAUCUGGUGGGCGCCCGAUGUGCAGCACCUGGGUGACCCAGACGAUGACCAGAACUCUCUGUCCUUGGGCUGGCUCCAGUACCAGGCCUUGUUGGCACGUGGCUGCAGCUGGCCAAGCCAGGCCCCCUGCCUGGGCCUCCACCACGCCGAGUGGGCACGCCUGGCACUCUUCGACUUCCUGCUGCAGGUCCAUGACCGCCUGGACCGCUACUGCUGCGGCUUUGAGCCCGAGCCGUCAGACCCCUGCGUGGAAGAGGGGCUCCGGGAGAAAUGCCAGAACCCGGGCGAGCUGCGACUGGUCCACAUCCUGGUCCGGAGCAGUGAUCCAUCCCAUCUGGUCUACAUUGAUAACGCUGGCGACCUUCAACACCCCGAGGACAAGCUGAACUUUCGGCUGCUGGAGGGCAUAGAUGGGUUUCCUGAGUCUGUCGUGAAGGUUCUUGCAUCAGGGUGUCUACAGAAUAUGCUGCUCAAGUCACUGCAGAUGGACCCAGUGUUCUGGCAAAGCCAAGGCGGGAGACUGGGACUGACGCAGGUCCUCCAGACCCUGGAGCGGCGAGGACAGAGGCCUGGACUUGAAUGCAGGAGCUCUGGGUUCAGAUCUGGCCUUGGCCACUUAAUGGUUAGCAACUGACAAGUGUUUAUUGAGCACCUGCUAGAGUAACUAGUAACGUUUACUGAGUGAUGACUACGUACCAGUCGCCGUGACAGUGGUUUAUGUGGAUCAAGGCACACCUAACCUCGCGACGACUCGACGGAUCAAGAGCCUCAGCUGGGGAGGGAGUACAUUGCCCGUGGCCAGACAGAUGGAGAUGGCAGAGUCUGCCCAUGAACCUGGGGAGCGCUACCUGGCAUGAAGUGAAUACGGAUGGUGGUCUGCACUGUGCAAAGGAGCUGUACCGUGUUCCCCAUCGCAAAGCCUCGAAAUAACUCCAUAAGCAGUGGAACCGCUUUUCCCCGUGUGGCCCGAGAACCUCCCGGACCCCACUCUGUUCCUGGGGAUUCGCCCUUCCCACCAGAGCACCGCCAGCAGGUUUUUGCAAGAACCAUGCUAGUGAGGGAAGGAAGAACACGGAGUCUCUACCGUUGGAUGAGAGGAAAUCCACGCUCCCCGUGUGGCCUCCACCAACAGCACCCUGGCAGGGAGAGUGAGAGACACAGCAGCAUGGAGUAGGAAAUCUCAGCUCCUCAGCUGGCCUCUACUGACACCCAGGGGUUUACUUUGGAAGAGACAGAGAGGCGUGAGUCGGAGAGGGCAGACGGGACAGAGACAGAAUCCCAAGCAGGCUCCACACUGCCAGCACAGAGCCUGAUGAGGGGCUUGAACCCACAAAGCUGCGAGAUCAUGCCCUGAGCUGAAACCAAGAGGUGGACGCUGAACCGACUGAGCCACCCAGGCGCCCCAGGAAUUCCACCGUCGUUCAGGUGAACUACUGAGCGAGUCCUCCUCACCUUAGAGAAGUGCCCCGAAUCAUCCAGCAACUCUGCGACACGGCAGGAUUAAAAAUGGAGGCAUCCUGAACUCCUGGCGAGUGCUGCCUCCUGAAGGCUGGGGAGAGCGGCAGGUCACGUGCAGGCCUGGCCACGCAGCUUCUGAGUUCAGGGUCCAGCGAAGGCAGGUGGCUCCCCGCACAGCCCAGUCCGUCCACUGCUCCACCCAGCUGCCACCCGCUAGGGCCAGGCCAGGUCUGAUGUGGAUGAGCCGCUCUUCACCCCCUUGGGCACGGCUCUGCUAGGGAGGGCAGGCCCGUUCCAUCCCUUGCAGCCUCCCUCCCCCUCCCUGAGGAAAGUCCUCUGGAGUUCUCACCUUGCCAGAGCAGCCACACCUUCUGCUAACCCUCCCCGACAGGGGGGCAGGGAAGGUGCAGGGGGGGUGCGGGGGACAGGUAGCACACCUCGGUCUCAGGGCACCGACCGCACCAAGAAGUCUGACCAAUUGGUCUGCUCUGUUGGAGACCCCUGAUCUCAGGAAUUAUCACAUCACACCCUACACCAACCUGGCUCUGAGUUCCUGCCGCAUUACCGGUGGUCGGUGGCUCCCAGAGGAGGAUGUGUGCUGUCCAGGCAAGUUUAAGGCUAAAAAGCCAGACAGACUGGGGUUCAAACCCCAGCUCCGUGACUUUACGGCAUGGCCUUUCUGAAGUCAGGUUCCCGGUCACCAAGAGCGAGAGCCCAGCACCCACCUCACAGGGUUGUGGAGAAGGUCAGAAAUGGUGUAUUCGUUGAACCUCAUGAAUACUGAUAGCUGACUGCUUGUCAUGUACAAAAACAGCAAUUUCACGCAAUUAGGGUCAACCUAAUAAGUGUCUAGCAGAGGGGAAAAGGGAAAAAAUUGAGGCACCAGAUGGUUAAUAAAGGGCCACAGGGAUGCACAAUGAAGUUUGGCAUUUUAAAACAUUUUGGACACACUUGGCUGCCUUCAUCUGACUCGAAGCAAAAGAUGAUUGGUGCUGAGGCGGGAACUGUCACUUUUCAUUACAGUCAUUUGAAACAAAGGAUUUUAAAUCUAAGAGGAUUCCUCCCACAGAUGGGGACUGAGAUAGGACAUGCUGUCCUCUGUUGGCAUCUUGGGCCAGAGUCCGUCACCAACUCUCUACUUGGGCUUCCAAGUCUAGUGCAUUAAUAAAGGACAGAGGGGGCACUAUUUCCACCCAGGAUCCAUGCUCCUUUCCUCUUCCUACUAAAACCCCAGGUUUGUUCAGAAAGCCACCCCUCCCCCUGAUACCCAGGAGGUGCAGAGGAAGCCAAGACCUACCUCCCACCUCCAGAGGGCUGAUCAGCAGAGAACAAGCCUCUGGGGCCAGUUACUGGCCCAGCAUAGCAUGCUACCUGAGUAGAACCAAGUAGAACGGAGGGAAGGAGUCACAUUCCAUGUUCCCACCCACUGGACACAAAAGAAGGUGCUGUCCCAUGGCCGCUGCCUGCCAUCUGCUGACCAGCCUGAGAACAAGGAUGGCAUGAUGGAGGAGAGACAGGAAGGACCCUAGUGACAUCUCAGAGCCCUAUAACUUGGACUUCCUGCUGUGAACUUUCCUUAUUAUGGAAGCUGGUUUGGGUUGGGGUUUUGGUUCCUCUAAACUAAGAAUAAUUCAACUUUGUUGUUGUGCAUGUUGUGUGGAGCAAACACAUGGGGGUCUGACCUGUGCCUUCUGUUUCUGAGCUGUGCUCUAACCUAGUGGGGCUAUUUGGUAUCAGUUUCCCCAUGACCCUUCUAACUUGGGUAAACAAAGCCCUCCAAGAAACUCUUGUAUUAGAAAUUAGAAACUAUGGGGCACCUGGGUGGCUCAGUCGGUUAAACAUCUGACUUUGGCUCAGGUCAUGGUCCUGCAGUUUGUGAGUCUGAGCCCCACGUUAGUCUCUGUGCUGCCAGCUCAGAGCCUGGAACGUGCCUUGGAUUCUGUGUCUCCCUCUCUCUCAAAAAUGAGUAAACAUUAAAAACUUUUUUCUAAAAAAGAAAAAUCAGCAAAGGCCAGAAUGUCAAUGGCCUUGGUGCUAGGUCAAGAAAUCUGAACUCUAUCCUAUAGGCAAUGGGGAGCUACUGUAAGUCUUUGAGCAGAGUAGCCCAGAGAUGGGGGAGAACAGAGGUAGAAAACCCAAUGACAAGUUCCCAGCCUCAGUGUCCCUCCACUCAGUGUGCGAGAGGCAAGCCUAGGAGUUAGAAUGGGGUGCCUGGAGGGGGAGCUUGGCAUGAACGGAGUACAAAGAGCGUGUUCCUUAUGGCAGUUCAAGUCCCGAAGUCUGCAGAUGACUAACUUUAAGCAAAUUCCUGUGGAUUUGAACGCUGUGGAUUUAAAGCUACUUCCUUAACAAAGCUCCCACUCAUUCAAUCCCAUUGGGCCUUCUUGGUCUGUAAGGAAGAAGGCAAAGUCACAGCUAUCCUGAGAGCCCGCAAACUUCAUGUCCUUCAUGCAGGUCUUCAAGGCUUUUGUGGAACAAAGGCAGAGAACUUCUGGUCCAGCCCCAGAGUGACAGAGAGGACACAAGCCGCUGCCUUCUUAGCUGGGUUUUGCCUGUGCUCCGGUCAGCCCUUUUAAUCUCCAGGAGAGGAUCUCUGCAAGCCCAGAACCCUACGGCCAAGAAAUCUGCUUAAACGUCAAUGUUUCCCUGUCUUUUCAAACUUAAGUACCCACCAAUAAAGAAGAGAAACUCUUUAAUGCUCCAUACUCAA